GUGUGUGUGAGGCUCUACGUGUGAACCCGCUGCUGCCGAGGUUUGGACCCGAGUGCGGAUCAGGAGUCCAGAUUUAAAGGCCCUGUUUGUUUUGGCUGGACGUGUCUUGAAGUUUCACUUCAAAAGGAGGGCCUCCGCUCUUCACACGCCUCUUCAUUUCGUUUCUGAUUCGCUUCCAAAACAGUUGAGUGACGGGGCCUGAUUGUGCGCGUACAGCGUUUUAUUGUAAUGCGCUCCCGGAUCGGUCGUGUUUACUGUAAACACCAGCGAUUCUGAUCUUGGGAGAUCUCUCUGUGCGCGGCGAACGCGAGCUGUCGUGGCGCUGAGAGGUACAAGCUAUAUGAUCCGUAAACGUUGCCUCUCCAACCCCCCGUGCAGUAAGAACAGAACGCCAAAAAUCAGACCAGAUGUGUUCAUUCCCAUACAUUCCAUGGGUCGAGAAAAAUAAAAUAAAAAAGAGUAAAACAGACAUAUUCUUGGCUCUGACUCAAUGCUGUAUAUGCAUGUGAGGAUUUUUCAACUCUUUUUUUCUUAUUUGCUGGGGAGAGGAAGACAGAGAGGAAAGGUGGAAGCUGCCAGCCAAGAGCAAACAUAAAACAAACAAAACUGGGAUCAAAGAAUAGUUACAGUGGCCUCAACAGAAUAUUUGGCUGCUUGUGUUGGUGUGUGGGUUGGAACAGGCAUUGUGGUUAAAAACAGAUAUUUGAUUAGUUUCCUCAGUCUUUAUUUACAAGACAACAUUCCCCUAAAGUAGAAAUAUAAAAAAACAUAAUUAGAAAAUUAUUGCAAAACAUUGCAAUUCUGAGAGAUGAUAGACAUGGAAGUACACUUGUGUUGAGACCCUUAUGAAUGCACUCCGUGGUACAGGGGCCACUUGUGGGCCGUUUGAUUCAGAGAUACAAUUACGCAGUUAAUUAUCUUAAUUACAAUUUUGCACCGAGAUUGGUGUUUGGCACAAAGACUUGUUUUUGACACUGAACUGUUUGUCUGCUUGCCAGAGGAGGCAUCCAAACUAUGCCGCCUGUGGUCUAAUCAAAAUCCUCUGAUAGGGUGCAGGGGACUCCAAGUUUAGCAGCUAUGUGCGUUUGAAAACGUUGUGAAUUGUAACUCAAAUUGUGCUCACAAUGGAGUCAGUCUAUUCCCAUAUGACAAACACAUGCUUAGGAUAAUGCUGCAAUUAGCAGUGCGGCCACAGCGAUGGAGAGCUGCGCAAGAGGAAUGGAAGCGGGGCAAGGUUGUGACAGUUCAUUAGACACAAGUGCCUGUGUUACCCUGCUGCGGCGGCUCUCAGCCCUGGAGGGCUGUUUUCUGCGGACUAAUGCCAGAUCUUCUCCUUGAUAUCUGAUUCAUCUGGACAUUUAACAAUCCAAGGAUGAAGCUACUUUCCCUGUGCUGUCUGUCACACCACGAGAACCUCUUCAUUUCCUCCACACCGGCUGAGAUCUUCCUGCCUCCACAAUGGCAUUUUGUGGCCGCUCUUAUAGCGUACUCCUCUGGAUCUGCCAGCUGUGUUUUUGGACUGCAGCCAUUCCUGGAAGGUGAGGGACGUUUGGUUGUUUUGAUGAGGCUCAGGAAGUGGCUGUGGCAGACAUUCCCCGCUCUUUCCAGAAGAACAGUGGAGCUGACAGGCACACCCAGCUGUCCCCACCAUGACCCAGUCCACUGAGGCUCCCAUGCCAGCAGGGGUGACCCGACAUGGGACUACUGGGACGCGCUUGAAAGGGGAUGGCGUGUCAGUCCACCUUCUAAUAAUGUUGCCUUACAUGCACAACUCAUGCAAACUUUUCAUUACAAUUUGUAUUUGCUGUGUUAUUGUUCGAGCUAUGCAGGCAGAUUUUUUUUUACAUUUUGCAUUUGGUGGUGAUGCAAAGUGAUGAUGGUGGAGUAGAAUGAGUUUAGUUUAGUUGACUCUUGAGGGAGAGUGAGAUAUUUUACUUUAAUAUAAUAGUUUUUUUACUUUUACAUUUAUUUUUUCAGUGCUAAAUAUUUUAGAAGCAUUUUAAGACCCCUGGGUUGCAUAAGCGUGGUCUGGAAGCAAGUUGAUUUGAAUGAACUGGAAAAAGGUGCACAUCUCACCUGCCUAGCGAGCUAAACAAAUGACAUACUCCACACUUCAAGCACAUUGGGGGCAGACUUGUAUCACUGAAAUUUACAAUGCGUAGCAACCCAUUACUUGUUGACUUCAAGUUUCAAUGAAUUUCCGUUACGUUAAGUGAACAGACUACCUGCGGAAUGAUAUGACAGAUGUGAAUUGGAAGCACAAAACCUGUUGCCAAUGGCGGCGGUCAUUAUUUGUUUUGCAGCAGUCACAUCAGACCUCUGAACGUUGGGGUGGCCCAUUCAAAUCAAUGGGACAUUUUGCAACAUUCUGAGGACUCGUAUUAUAAUGAUGUUGUUUUAACGUCUGAUUAACCUUUUGCAUAUUUAUGGCACCUGAUGGCCACUGUAGCUUCUCCUGCAUGCUUGAAAAGGGAGAAGUAUUCAGUUGUUUGCAACCUGCAGCCUCACCACUAUACGCCACUAAAUCCUACAUGCUGUGCCUUUAA